rnacentral:rRNA from 1 species
AACGAACGCUGGCGGCAGGCUUAACACAUGCAAGUCGAACGCCCCGCAAGGGGAGUGGCAGACGGGUGAGUAACGCGUGGGAACAUACCCUUUCCUGCGGCAUAGCUCUGGGAAACUGGAAUUAAUACCGCAUACGCCCUACGGGGGAAAGAUUUAUCGGGGAAGGAGUGGCCCGCGUUGGAUUAGCUAGUUGGCGGGGUAAAGGCCUACCAAGGCGACGAUCCAUAGCUGGUCUGAGAGGAUGAUCAGCCACAUUGGGACUUAGACACGGCCCAAACUCCUACGGGAGGCAGCAGUGGGGAAUAUUGGACAGUGGGCGCAAGCCUGAUCCAGCCAUGGCGCGUGAGUGAUGAAGGCCUUAGGGUUGUAAAGCGCUUUCACCGAUGAAGAUAAUGACGGUAGUCGGAGAAGAAGCCCCGGCUAACUUCGUGCCAGCAGCCGCCGUAAUAC